AUUCCCCGCUGAAAUUUAGCAUAUCAGUAAGCGGAGGAAAAGAAACUAACCAGGAUUCUCCUAGUAACGGCGAGUGAACGGAGAUUAGCCCAUCACCGAAGUCUAUUCACACUUGUGGACAGGACAAUGUGGUGUUCAAGCGUGCACCUGGGAACGAUUGCCUACCCGAAGUCCAUCUCCGAUUAUGGCUUCGACUGUGCCCAGAGCGGGUGAAAGGCCCGUGCGGGUAGGCUUGUGGAUAUUAUAAUCGUUCCUCAGAUGUGUAUGCUUUCGAGUCGGAUUGCUUGAGAAUGCAGUCCAAAGUGGGUGGUAAACUCCAUCCAAGGCUAAAUACUGGCACGAGUCCGAUAGUAGACAAGUACCGUGAGGGAAAGUUGAAAAGUACUCUGAAGAGAGAGUAAAUAGCACGUGAAGCCGCUUGCAGGGAAGCUGGUGGAGUCAAGCUUCUUGUCGAGAGAAUUGUCAUCAGAGGAUUAUUGCCUCGGGACGUGGCGCUGGUCAGCCUGGAAACGGUUUGGUGCGUGCAAACGCAUUUCAAGUCAUUCUGGGAAGAAUGAUUGUGCUGGCGCCUAUCUUCCACCUCUGGUGCUUUAUUCUCCAUGACAUACAUCACGGUCAAUAGUGGAUGGAACACGUACUGCAUGAGUGCUUAACCGUGCUUUGGUGGACUUCAUUGUCUGCUGGGCAUGGAAUGGCAGAAGGCAUGUGAGGGCCUCGGCUCUCACUAUGCGUAUUGUGGUUUAGACCUGCUAGUGCUCAUGUUUAGUAUCGGCCCUAUUGCUCAUAUGCGAUGCUCUCUCCAUGGAGGGGGCGUCACUGAGAACCGUGAUGCUGAGGUAGAUUUUCCACCCGACCGUGUAAAAAACCCGCGC
rnacentral:rRNA from 1 species